rnacentral:misc_RNA from 1 species
AGCUCUGGCCUCUGCAAUGACUAAUCUUGUUCUGUCCAAUGCAACUGAUACGUUGAGCUAUAUUCAAGAGCUAAUCAAGCAAGGAGCAGACCCGCAGCUCCAGAAACCUUUGGCCGAUUGUGCUGAAUUGUAUAUUCCAGUUGUUAAGUACAAUCUUCCUCAAGCUAUCAACGCUUUGAUGAGAGGUCGGUUUGGAUUCACCAGCUACUUAUUAUCUGAUGCUGGCAAACAAGCUCAGGACUGUGAAAAGAACUUCUCUGGCUCAAGUCAGUCCCCGUUAACU